rnacentral:rRNA from 1 species
CGGGUGAGUAACACGUGGAUAACCUACCUAUAAGACUGGGAUAACUUCGGGAAACCGGAGCUAAUACCGGAUAAUAUUUUGAACCGCAUGGUUCAAAAGUGAAAGACGGUCUUGCUGUCACUUAUAGAUGGAUCCGCGCUGCAUUAGCUAGUUGGUAAGGUAACGGCUUACCAAGGCACGAUGCAUAGCCGACCUGAGAGGGUGAUCGGCCACACUGGAACUGAGACACGGUCCAGACUCCUACGGGAGGCAGCAGCC